GGUCUUGUAGUGUAGCGGUUAUCACAUCGGAUUCUGAAUUUGAUUCAACAUCCCUUUGUAUUCCGAUAACCCAGGUUCGAGUCCUGGCAUGACCU
rfam:Neolentinus lepideus HHB14362 ss-1 unplaced genomic scaffold NEOLEscaffold_85, whole genome shotgun sequence.